UUAGCAACGGUGUCGCGUUGUUACGGUUGCUAUGUUGCGGUACAACUGCUGAUCCCCACCGGUCAUAAGUGUGUGAGACUGGAUUUUCACCGAAGUGCAAAAAUAAUACCGAAAUAUACGUGAGAAUAUUAUAUAAAAAUCCGCCGGGGCGCCCCGAUGGCGAGGGGAGACCGCAGGAAGAGGGCGGACAGGUCCCCGCUGGAGGUCUCCUUCCACCAGCUGACCGGGAGCAGCUCCAGCGUGCUGUCCGAGCCGCCGCCGCCCCCGGGGGACAGCGAGGACGGCCUGUCCUCCGCGGGGUCGCCGCCGGCCAGCACCGGCCGCGCCCCGGGACCCCCGCGACCCCCGGAGACACAGGAGGAGCCGGUCCUUCCUCAGGUCAUUGUGGAGCGGUAUGAAGGAGAAAAGGUCCACGGCCUCUAUCACGGAGAAGGAACGGCAUAUUUUCAAGGGGGUCAUGUCUACAAGGGCAUGUUUUCAGAAGGACUGAUGCACGAGCAGGGGACCUACACCUGGGCUGACGGAGUUCAAUACCAGGGCGAUUUCCAAGCGAACGUGCCCACGGGACACGGGGUUUACACGUGGCCCGACGGCGGCUGCUACGAGGGCCAGGUGUGGAACGGGAUGCGUCACGGAGUGGGCACACACAGGUGCGGCGGCAGCACCGCCUCCUACACGGGCCGCUGGCACCUGGGCAAGCGCCACGGCAAGGGAGCAAUUUACUACAACGCUGAAGGAACGUCGUGGUAUGAAGGAGACUGGGUGGACAACGUCAGGGAAGGCUGGGGCGUGAGAUGCUACAGCUCGGGGAAUGUUUACGAGGGGCAGUGGAAGAGCAGCGCCCGGCACGGCCGGGGCACGAUGAGGUGGCCGGCGCUGCGCCAGCAGUACAGCGGCCAGUGGGCAGACGGCAUACAGCAGGGCCAGGGGACGCACACGUGGUUCCUGAAGCGCGUGCCGGGCUCGCAGUACCCCUUGCGGAAUGAGUACGUGGGGGAGUUCGCGAGUGGCCUGCGCCACGGCCACGGCCGGUUCUACUACGCCAGCGGGGCGCUGUACGAUGGACACUGGCAGUUCAAUAAAAAACACGGCCAGGGAAAGUUCGUCUUCAAGAACGGCCGGGUGUUUGAAGGCGAGUUCGUCGAUGACCACAUGGCCGAGUUUCCAGGCUUCUCCAUGGACGGCACAAGCACCCCUGACCUCAGUGGCAUCAGAACUCAUACUCCCCCUUGUGGCGAAGGCGAAAGCGUGAAGAGACCAGGCGGUGUCUCCUCUGUGCUGGGGCCUGACAUGGCUCUAGACCUGCACUUUCUGCUAGAGAGGCUCCCUGCAGCAGGCCGAGACGCCGAGCGGAAACAGGUGGAGUUUGCCAUUCUGAGGCACGUGGCGGAGCUGAGGAGGGUGUACAGCUUUUACAGCAGCCUGGGCUACGAGCACUCGCCCGACAACACCUUCCUGCUGACCCGCCUGCAGUUCUGGAGGCUGCUGAAGGACUGCAGGAUCCAGCAGCGCCAGGUCACCCUGGCCCAGGCCGACCGGCUGCUCGCUGAAAACAGUGCACCCGAAGAGAUUCAUUCCCCGUUUGACACCGUGCUUCUCAGGACAUUCCUCAGUAACAUAGUGGUGCUAGCCUACCACAUGUACAACAAAGAGAUUGAGUCACAAGGCUCUGUUUUAGCAUCCUGUUUUUCAAAGUUGGUGAGAGACAACAUCAUUCCUCAUGCAAGGAACGUGAAAGGUAAUUUCUUCAGCAACCACCUGUGUGCUGUUGUUGCUGUGAACUACAUGGAGAAGUGCUGGGAGAUACACAAGGCCUACUGCAAGCAGAGCUCCAAGGCUCCCUUCGAGCCCACGAUGAACAUGCGGGACUUCAUGUGGAUGUUGAAGGAUCUAAAUCUCUAUAGUGAAGAGCUGACAACUGGGAAGGUCCUGGAGAUUCUUGCUGCUGAAAGCCCUGCAGCCUACGAUGGAACCUACAGUAACCUAGAACUGGAGAUGACUUUCCUGGAGUUCUUUGAAGCCCUGCUGGGUUGUGCAGAGGUGAGCAUCCCGAGAGUGACUAGGACCCUGUCCGAGAGCCUCCUGGAUGAUUGGAAAUCAGGGGGCUUGACCAAGGAGCCCCCCAGAGGGGACCGCAGGGAGAGCCCCACUCAGCGUGGCACGCUGCCACCUUCUGCUCAGGCCGUCACACAGGACGGGGCACAUAAAGAAGACGGCCCAGCUCAGAACGAGCUCCCCCUAAAGUCAUCCAGCAUCCACGGCACAUCUCAAUCAAGCGCAGCAAAGAAAUCUGAGGCAAGAAAAUCCAAAGAGCUGCUUAAACCGUCCGAGUCUGAAGAAAGAGAUCUUAAGCAAAGUGGGAAAUCUGUGUCAAACCCUAAAACACAGCCAGGACACCCAGCUGGUGCGAGCAGCGGUCCGGCCCCCCAGUCCGCGCACUCCCACUCCGCUGGUAGUGGACGGGAUGGCAUAGGGGGCGCCGCCGAGCUGGUGCGCUCCAUGCCUGCCCUGCACCCCGAGCAGCCCAGCUCUCCACCGCAGCAUGGCUCAGAGGACGGCGAGGACAGCACCAGUGAGCCGGAGAGCGAGCUCGAGUGCUGGAUACAGCAGAUGCGCAUCUUCUUUACCCAGAAGCUGUUCCCCUCGUACGAGCACAGCCUGCUGGUGAAGAGGGAGGUGGCGGAGGAGCGCGGGCGGCGGGCGGUGCGGGCCAGGAUGGCGAAGGCCAGAGUGGAAGAAGCAGCCAGGCUGAAGGAGCUGCUGGAGGCGGAAGACGAGAGGCGCCACCGGGAGGAAGAGGAGGAGGAAGAAGGGGACGAGAGGGCCGAGGGCCAGGAGGAAGAUGCCAGCCUCACCCCGUCUCCCGUGGCCGUGGCCGUGGCCUCGGCCCCCAGCAUCACCAAGCCCUCCCCCAGCAGCGGGAGGCGGAAGAGAAAGUUUUAGAACACAAGGACGCGACAACUUCUUCACGAGCAGUGCCUUAGAGCAGACGUCCCCGAGAUGGGAGAGGCCUGGGUGUCUCCGUUUCCCAAGCCCCGACACUGACCCCGAUAUCCUGCGGUUGACGUUGUACUGCUCGCAGAUGUCGGACGCCAGCAGAGUGAGCUGCGGCCCCACCAGGCUGUCCAGCUGCUCACAGAACUCCCUGGUGAGCUCCACGGACGCUGCAGGGGACAGGAACACAGGCGGACACACGGCCAUCAGAGAGGCUGACCCACCCCUCCCUCCCCACUGCGCUGUGGCCUGGGACGGCGCCUUCUGGAGCCUCCGCAUCGAGAGAAAACCCCAGGGCAGACUGGCCUGUCCCCACUUCCACUCCAGGGAAGACGUUUAUUUUAAACUAGACAGGAAAUACUGAACUCCGAGUGCGAAUC